UACGGAGGGUGCGAGCGUUGUUCGGAAUUACUGGGCGUAAAGCGCGUGUAGGCGGCUCUUUAAGUCUGAUGUGAAAGCCCGGGGCUCACCCCCGGAAGUGCAUUGGAAACUGGGGAGCUGGAGUACCGGAGAGGAGGGUGGAAUUCCUGGUGUAGCGGUGAAAUGCGUAGAUAUCAGGAAGAACACCGGUGGCGAAGGCGGCCCUCUGGACGGAUACUGACGCUGAGACGCGAAAGCGUGGGGAGCAAACAGG
rnacentral:rRNA from 1 species